GUUGCUUCUGUGCUCUCUACUGGAGUGGUCUGUCUAACAUGUCAUUCUCAGCCAGAAGCAUAUAUUUAUUAAUGCCAGUAUUAAACAGCAUGAUGUUGUAAUUGUUGCAUCAUGUUACCUGUCUCCUGGUAAAUAU